rnacentral:rRNA from 1 species
UACGAAGGGGGCUAGCGUUGUUCGGAUUUACUGGGCGUAAAGCGCACGUAGGCGGAUCGUUAAGUCGGGGGUGAAAUCCUGGAGCUCAACUCCAGAACUGCCUUCGAUACUGGCGAUCUUGAGUCCGGAAGAGGUGAGUGGAACUCCUAGUGUAGAGGUGGAAUUCGUAGAUAUUAGGAAGAACACCAGUGGCGAAGGCGGCUCACUGGUCCGGUACUGGACGCUGAGGUGCGAAAGCGUGGGGAGCAACAGGGAUUAAGAUACCUUGUA